rnacentral:tRNA from 1 species
GCGAGGGUGGCGGAAUUGGCAGACGCGCUGGACUUAGGAUCCAGUGGGAUUUCCCAUGGGGGUUCAACUCCCCCCCCUCGCA